rnacentral:misc_RNA from 1 species
AAUUAAUCCACACUGAAGUAAAAGUAUUAAAAAUAUUUUUAUGGCUAUGUCGAAAAUUAAAGCCGAACUCAGAAUGUUAGCCUUGCUAACAUAUCUAAAAAUUACUGAAAUCGAUGAUGCGAGAAGGAAAAAUUAAUGAAGUAACAACUAUCUAUCUGCUACAUGAUAAACCAAAACUAAUACAUACUAUGACAUUGUUAUU